UAGGGAAUCUUCGGCAAUGGACGAAAGUCUGACCGAGCAACGCCGCGUGAGUGAAGAAGGUUUUCGGAUCGUAAAACUCUGUUGUUAGAGAAGAACAAGGACGUUAGUAACUGAACGUCCCCUGACGGUAUCUAACCAGAAAGCCACGGCUAACUACGUGCCAGCAGCCGCGGUAAUACGUAGGUGGCAAGCGUUGUCCGGAUUUAUUGGGCGUAAAGCGAGCGCAGGCGGUUUCUUAAGUCUGAUGUGAAAGCCCCCGGCUCAACCGGGGAGGGUCAUUGGAAACUGGGAGACUGGAGUGCAGAAGAGGAGAGUGUAAUUCCAGGUGUAGCGGUGAAAUGCGUAGAUAUAUGGAGGAACACCAGUGGCGAAGGCGGCUCUCUGGACUGUAACUGACGCUGAGGGUAGAAAGCGUGGGGAGCAAACAGG
rnacentral:rRNA from 1 species